rnacentral:rRNA from 1 species
AUUGAACGCUGGCGGCAGGCCUAACACAUGCAAGUCGAACGGGUGGAGGACGGGUGGGUAAUGUCUGGGAAACUGCCUGAUGGAGGGGGAUAACUACGGGAAAAGGUAGCUAAUAGCGCAUACCAUACGAUGUGCCCAGAUGGGAUUAGCUAGUAGGUGGGGUAAAGGCUCACCUAGGCGACGGUCCCUAGCUGGUCUGAGAGGAUGACCAGCCACACUGGAACUGAGACACGGUCCAGACUCCUACGGGAGGCAGCAGUGGGGAAUAUUGCACAAUGGGCGCAAGCCUGAUGCAGCCAGGCCGCGUGUAUGAAGAAGGCCUUCGGGUUGUAAAGUACUUUCAGCGGGGAGGCGUUACCCGCAGAAGAAGCACCGGCUAACUCCGUGCCAGCCGCCGCGGUAAUAC